UACUGGUCCUGAAUUUAUCAAACUCGUUGUAAAAUGAGUUAAAAGUGAGGCUGAGCGCAGGGCCAAAACAAGGCUGAGACAAAACAUUCUUCCUUUAACUUGUCUGUGUUUCCCAGAGAAUGUGUUCUCAUUAUUUUGUCUGCUGUUUUGUACCUUUGGACAUUCCACCAAUGAUGAAAUUCAGACAGUUCUAUCAGAUUUCGCUUCAAAAAUUUUGGACCUUUGUUACUAGGUACAUAAACAUCUGAGGUGUUUAUUGGAGCUCUUUGCCUAGAACUGAUAAUUGGAUUCAUGGUAUUCUGGAGAACAAGGCACUCUCAUGGCCUUCAUAGCAUAGAAUGACUUCUGGCCUUGUACCUCCUCGUCACAAUGCCAAAUGAGUUGGCUCUGUGUGCUACAAGAGUUCUGGAGAACUAUCUAUGGAAACUACAAUGUAAUGACUAGCAAUAACUACUGUACGUAUAAGGAAAUGACUGCAAACCACACAGAUUCAUCCUGUUAAAUUCAAAGAUCAUUUAUUCAACUUUCCCAUAACCAAAUCACAAAAACACCUGUGGCUACUCUCAAGUCAACUGAUGCAAAGAGAAUUGUAAUGGAAGAGGGGCCAAGUGAAGAGAGAGAACAGUGGAAUCAUUUGUGGCUAAAAUGCCUUACUUUUGGAAAUCAACAUACAUUUUAUAUAUGUUUAUAUGUGUAUAUGAAAAGUAUAUAUGUAAAGGUUCAAAAAUAUAUAUGUGUACAAUGAAUUAUCUUAAUGCUAUCAAUUCUCAUGUACCCUGGAAAGAUUUUUGUAUACAUUGAGAAAUACAUGUACAGCUGAUUUUAAGAGUCCUACUGGACAUAAAUUCAGUCAGAUCUGAACUACAAAAGG
rnacentral:lncRNA from 10 species